rnacentral:rRNA from 1 species
UACGUAGGGUGCAAGCGUUGUCCGGAAUUAUUGGGCGUAAAGAGCUCGUAGGCGGUCUGUCGCGUCGGCUGUGAAAACUCGGGGCUCAACUCCGAGCUUGCAGUCGAUACGGGCAGGCUAGAGUUCGGCAGGGGAGAGUGGAAUUCCUGGUGUAGCGGUGAAAUGCGUAGAUAUCAGGAGGAACAUCGAUGGCGAAGGCAGCCCCUUGGACCUGUACUGACGCUCAGGCACGAAAGCGUGGGGAGCAAACAGG